AUGAGGGCUUUAUAUGCUUUAGACUAUUUGCAACGCUACAAUUCAUAUACAACAGCUCUACAGCAAAGGCCUUAUUAACAAAAACUUGUAUUACCUUUGUACCAUGUUGCUGAAUAGGGACCCUGGGUGCAUCGGAGCGUUUUGACUAGACUCAGUAGGACCUGUCGAAUAUCUUUAGGCUUGUCGCGUUUUUCGUCGUGAUCGGUGACUCCAAGUAAUGGAAAAAGUAAGAACCUCAUUGACCCAUGACCAUUCAAUUGGAUUCAUAAGUAGAGUCGAGAUGCUUCUCAAUAAAAGACAUUUUAUGCAAAGGACAAUAAAUUUAGGCCAAAAAGUAUUCGAAAAUGUCUAUCAUAGUGUAUUACUCGUGCAAAGGCUCAACUUUCAUUAUUCAAGUCAACGUUUAUCGUUAAACUCGACAGACAAAAGAAUCAUUCGUUCUUCGUCUCCCGAUAUCCACAUUCCGAACAAGACUUACAUCGAAUUUAUUUUGGAACAUUGUGAACGUCAUGGGGAGAAACAUGCUAUUGCUGAUUACAUGAAUGAAAAGUUAUUUACAUACAAUGACGUCCAUGAUCUUGUAAAGAAAUGUGGAUCAGCCUUCAAACGCAUGGGUAAAAACCAGAAAGAUGUUGUCGCCCUCUUCAUGCCCAACAUACCUGAAUAUCCUAUAGCACUAUAUGGCAUCCAAGUUGCCGGUGGAACUGUAACUACAGUGAAUCCAACGUAUACUGCAGAUGAACUUGCAUAUCAGUUGAAUGACACUGGUGCAAAAUACCUCGUUUCAUCUUUGGAACUCUUACCCAAGGCAAGAGAAGCUACGUCUAAAGUAAAGUUAUCUAUGGACAAUGUUCUUGAUAUUGAUACCUUGUGGAAUCUGAUUCUGAGCGAUGACGGCUCUUAUUUACCUAACAUCCACAGCACAAAGACACCAAGUGAAGAUGUAGUUAAUCUUGCUUACUCUAGUGGAACGACAGGUCUUCCAAAGGGGGUCAUGUUGACUAGUACAAACUACAUCUCACAAGCCGUUAUUAUGGCUUGUGAGAGAUUCAUGCCCAAACGACCUGAGAUACCUCAAGAAAUAAUAUUAGCGUUUCUGCCAUUUUUCCAUGCUUAUGGACUUGCUUAUAUUAUGGGAGUACACUUUUACCUUGGAUCUAAGCUCAUCUGUUUGCCGAAGUUUGAACCAGAGCUAUUUCUAGAUGCCAUCGAAAAGCACAAGGUUACUUUCCUGCCUCUAGUUCCACCAAUUGUAUUAUUUCUAACCAAACAUCCCAUGGUUGAGAAGUAUGACUUAUCAUCUGUAAAGUAUAUUGUGUGUUCAGCAGCCCAUCUGUCAGGCGAACUGGAGAAAACACUGCUGAAAAGGUUCCCCAAUGUCUGUUCUGUACAGCAAGGAUAUGGUCUGACAGAGACAGGAGGAGGGACCAUGGUCAAUCCAUUAGACAAACCACCUACUAAAAGUGGAUCCAUUGGGAUUUUGCUUCCCAACACAGAAGCUAAAUUUUUUAAAGGUAGGAUCAAAAAAGCUUCCCAGAAUUUCUUUCGUUUGCACAUGUGAAAAGCUCUGUUAUUACCUGACUUUCUUGAGUUGAGGCGAGAAAUAUGGACCUCCCCCUCUUCUCCCCCUGUCACAAGACUUGACGUGCCUCUGAUACAUGCACGAAAUCAGGUAGGUGAGUUAUCUUUGUUUGUUUGUUUGUUUGUGUAUGUGUUUUUUUAGGUAAAAGAUUUACAAUCUGGUAAAGCGCUUGGACCAGGCGAAGAUGGUGAAAUAUGCUUAAGGGGACCUGGUAUUACAAAAGGUUACUUGAAUAACCCGGAGCAAAUUGCACAAGCCAUUGACCAGGACGGCUGGCUUCACACGGGAGAC
rnacentral:misc_RNA from 1 species